ensembl:lncRNA
GUGACUAGCAUGUCGCUAGCAUGUUUGUAGCAUGAUUAGCAUGUUGUUAGCAUGUUUCUAACAUGAUUAGCAUGUUGUUUGUAUGUUGCUAACAUGUUUUUAGCAUGAUUAGUAUGCGACUAGCAUUUUGCUAGCAUGAUUAGCAUGCGACUAGCAUGUCACUAACAUGACUAGCAAAGUUACUAGCAUGUUGCUAGCUUGACUAGCGUGUCUCUAGCAUGUCUCUAGCAUGACGAGCAUGCCAUUAGCAUGAUUAGCAAGUGACUAGCAUGUUAUUAGCAUGUUUUUAGCAUGAUUAGCAAAUGACUAGCAUGUUGGUAGUAUGUCACUAGCAUGUUUUUAGCAUGAUUAGCAUGUCGCUAACAUGUUUCUAGCAUGAUUAGCAUGCGGCUAGCAUUUCUCUAGCAUGAUUAGCAAGUUGCUAGCAUGUUUCUAUCAUGUUUCUAGCAUUACUAGCAUGUUGCUAGUAUGUCACUAGCAUGUUGCUAGCAUGAUUAGCAUGUCGCUAGCAUGUUUGUAGCAUGAUUAGCAUGUUGCUAGCAUGAUUAGCAUGUUGUUAGCAUGUUUCUAACAUGAUUAGCAUGUUGUUUGUAUGUUGCUAACAUGUUUUUAGCAUGAUUAGUAUGCGACUAGCAUUUUGCUAGCAUGAUUAGCAUGCGACUAGCAUGUCACUAACAUGACUAGCAAAGUUACUAGCAUGUUGCUAGCUUGACUAGCGUGUCUCUAGCAUGUCUCUAGCAUGACUAGCAUGCCAUUAGCAUGAUUAGCAAGUGACU